rnacentral:rRNA from 1 species
UGGAUCCCACCCUAGGAGGGCUACGCGAAGAUUAAUGCUGACGCCAGGGCUGCAAGGUCGGGGCGCUUCGGUGCUGUUGGAGCAAUCUGCCGCGACGAGGCAGGAAACUUACAGGGGGUAUCAUUGGUUGUGAUCAGAAAUAUUGGGGAUCCAGAGGUGCUCGAGGUGUUGGCAAUCAGCGAAGCUCUUGCCCUAGCGAAUGAUCUAUAUGUUCACAAAGUCUCGGUUGUAUCUGACUGUAAAAAUGCCGAGGAGGCGAUAAGAAGGGGAUCCUCACCAUCAUAUGGAGCAGUUAUACUAGAAAUUACUCAGACGUCUAGGGCUUUUAUUUCCUAUAAUUUCUUACAGGAGUUUAGACGCUCGAAUGUCGAGGCACACAAACUAGCAAAGCAUGCGUUAACGCUAGGGAUCGGCCACCAUGUUUGGUUAGGCCAUCCUGGAGAUCUCUGUUUCGUCCUUGUAAACUGUGUGACAGAUGAAUAA